ACGACACCGUCUAGUGUAGGUUUGAACGACACCUUAAGCUUAUAAAACGGCAGAUAUUCAGCAAAACAAGAACGGCGCCCGAAAAGCCCAAACCCUAAUCUCCUCUCAACCAUUAUUUAUAUGGUUGGCUUCAGCCGUAACAAUCACACUCAUAGCACCCUAGCUCUCAAGAACGGGCGGACUGAAUUGAUGCCUUGUUGAUUGUCUGCCACUUCCAGCAAUGGAAUGUCACUGAGAUUCAUAUCAAUGGUAGAAUUUUUAAUUUUUUAUAUCGUAGUUUUAUGUGUGUUAAAUCUGCUGUGAUGAUUUUGCAUCAAUAUGUCUGGACAUAUGAAUUUUUUUUCUGAUUAUUUGCUAUUUUCUGAGCAGUUUUAUAGUAUCUUUGUUUAGAUUUAUCUUUUUUUUUGUAUAAUAUUUUUACAGAAUUGUUAUUUUGAUUGGUCAAAUGAUGAAUCUUCAAAAUAUUGAGGACUCAAACAUUGAUUUGAGUGCAGUGAAUAUUUUAUUUGAAUAGGAAGAUCUGAUGCCAAAAUAUUAACAUUCUUUUGUUAUUAAAUUUGUUAGUUUAUCAAGAUAGCCUGUGAUGCAUACUUUAAUUAUGGUUCUGAAAUGCAUAUCUUGCGUUUGAUGAAAAUUUUGUACUAGGACGGUCUGAGGCUAUCAGAAUUCGUUUACAUUGAAAUCUUUCUUUUUUUUCGGUAGUUUAACUUUUUUAUAAAAUGAAUGUUAGUAUUGUAAAUUGUUUAAAAAAACAAUAAUGUGGAUGAUGAGAAUAUAAAUUAACAGUUAUCCCUGUCUGAUACUGCGAUGCAGGUGCUGAAAUUUUGUUAUCUGACAUAUUAGCUUUUUAAAAUUGUAAGUAUUGAAUUGUUUUGAACCAUGUUUUGAAAGACAUAUUAGCUUUUUAAAAUUUUAACUAUUGAAUUGUUUUGAACCAUGUUUUGAAAAUGUCUUCCUCUUUUGCCACAUAUGUUACUUCGAAGUUAUAUGGAACCAAGUGAUCUGGGGUUAUUUAUCCCCAACCAUGAUGCGGACCGUAAAAGCGAAAAAGCUUCUGGGGAUAUUUUGGUUUCUGAUGGUUUAUAUUUCAGUUUAGUUUUAACUUUGCAAACUGCCUAAGAUUUGUCUUAUAUUUCAUUUUUUUUCAUGUAUGAUAUGUUUCAAGCUUAAAUUUUUAGAUAAUGGUUGCAUAGUCAUAUAUGAUAUUAUUUUUGCAAAAAUAAUCAAUGGUUUUUGCAAAAAUGAACUAUGGUAUACAUCUCUGCAUUUAUUUAGAAGGAGGACAUCUGAAAUCCUCUUUAUCCAAAAUCCAUGGAGAGUUUUAAAAGGAGGACAUCUGAUAUCCAUCUUAACCAACACGAUUAUUAUUAAAUACUUACGAAUAAUGUAUUACUUAAUUAUAAAGGCACAAAAUAGUAUAUUGAAGAUGCAUUAAAUAGUAAAAAUAAUGAUUAUGUGCAAGUUUAGGCAUCUCGGAGUAUUCUCAGACAUUAUUAAAACAAGUGGUUAUGUCUGCACAAUGAGGAAAACUACAACCUAACAUGGAAUGGCCGUAUCACAUACUCCGGAAGAUCCUGAUCGCCUCUAAAGGCAAUAUUUUGUAUGUUAAAUUUCAUGUAGAAGAUCCUGAUCGUCUAUAAAGGCAAUAUUUUGUAUGUUAGAUUUCAUGGCGAAGAUCUUCGACGCCUCUUAAAGCAAUAUUUUAUAUGUUGGACUUCAUGCAAAAUAUCUUGGUUGUCUCUUAAGAUAGUAUUUUGUAUGUUAGACUUCGUGACAAAGAUCUUUGUCUUCUCUUAAGGCAAUAUUGUGUAUGUUGGACUUCAUGACAAAGACCCUCGCCAUCUUUUAAGGUAAUAUUUUGCAUGUUGGACAUGACGAAGA